rnacentral:rRNA from 1 species
UGCAAGUCGAACGGCAGCACGGACUUCGGUCUGGUGGCGAGUGGCGAACGGGUGAGUAAUGUAUCGGAACGUGCCUAGUAGCGGGGGAUAACUACGCGAAAGCGUAGCUAAUACCGCAUACGCCCUACGGGGGAAAGCAGGGGAUCGCAAGACCUUGCACUAUUAGAGCGGCCGAUAUCGGAUUAGCUAGUUGGUGGGGUAACGGCUCACCAAGGCGACGAUCCGUAGCUGGUUUGAGAGGACGACCAGCCACACUGGGACUGAGACACGGCCCAGACUCCUACGGGAGGCAGCAGUGGGGAAUUUUGGACAAUGGGGGAAACCCUGAUCCAGCCAUCCCGCGUGUGCGAUGAAGGCCUUCGGGUUGUAAAGCACUUUUGGCAGGAAAGAAACGUUCCGGGUUAAUACCCCGGGAAACUGACGGUACCUGCAGAAUAAGCACCGGCUAACUACGUGCCAGCAGCCGCGGUAAUACGUAGGGUGCAAGCGUUAAUCGGAAUUACUGGGCGUAAAGCGUGCGCAGGCGGUUCGGAAAGAAAGAUGUGAAAUCCCAGAGCUUAACUUUGGAACUGCAUUUUUAACUACCGAGCUAGAGUGUGUCAGAGGGAGGUGGAAUUCCGCGUGUAGCAGUGAAAUGCGUAGAUAUGCGGAGGA